rnacentral:rRNA from 1 species
GACGAACGCUGGCGGCGUGCCUAAUACAUGCAAGUAGAACGCUGAAGGAGGAGCUUGCUUCUCCGGAUGAGUUGCGAACGGGUGAGUAACGCGUAGGUAACCUGCCUGGUAGCGGGGGAUAACUAUUGGAAACGAUAGCUAAUACCGCAUAACAGUAGAUAUUGCAUGAUAUCUGCUUGAAAGGUGCACUUGCAUCACUACCAGAUGGACCUGCGUUGUAUUAGCUAGUUGGUGAGGUAACGGCUCACCAAGGCGACGAUACAUAGCCGACCUGAGAGGGUGAUCGGCCACACUGGGACUGAGACACGGCCCAGACUCCUACGGGAGGCAGCAGUAGGGAAUCUUCGGCAAUGGACGGAAGUCUGACCGAGCAACGCCGCGUGAGUGAAGAAGGUUUUCGGAUCGUAAAGCUCUGUUGUAAGAGAAGAACGAGUGUGAGAGUGGAAAGUUCACACUGUGACGGUAUCUUACCAGAAAGGGACGGCUAACUACGUG